UACGGAGGGGGCGAGCGUUAUGCGGAAUUAUUGGGCGUAAAGGGCGCGUAGGCGGCUUGGCAAGUCAAAGGUGAAAUCCCUCGGCUCAACUGAGGAACUGCCUUUGAAACUGCCUGGCUUGAGGCCGGGAGGGGGUAGCGGAAUUCCCAGUGUAGCGGUGAAAUGCGUAGAUAUUGGGAGGAACACCAGUGGCGAAGGCGGCUACCUGGACCGGUUCUGACGCUGAUGCGCGAAAGCGUGGGUAGCAAACAGG
rnacentral:rRNA from 1 species